CUCCAUGGACGCGGCGGCGUGACGGCUUCCAGGAACGGAUCCCCUCCUCCACCUCCAUCCUCCACCUCUCCGGUCGCCCGGUUGCAACGCUCCUUCCUACCUUCCAUGGACGAGCUUGACGGAGACGCCGUCCAGCCUGACCACGGCUACGACUACCCCACGCACAAGAAAGGUAGUUAUUGUGAAUUGAUGUUCGCACUGAGGCCGGAGGCGAGAGGCGAGGGCACGAAGGUCGGCGGUAAGUGCUCAGGAGAUAAGAGGAAGGCGGCGGUGGCUGCGGUUUACACGAGAGCGAGGUGACGUGCCCAGAAAGGUAGUUACAGUGAAUUGAUGUUCAUAUGAACUUCAAUGUUGUGACGUUUUUAUUAAAUCUGAGUUGCAAUCCUCAAUUUUUUUAGGUUUGAGUAGCAAUGCUCCUACUCUACUAGCUAUGACAUUUUCCAUGUUUUUUCUUCUAAUAUCGUAUAGCCUCCAUGCUUAUGGGUUCAACUUGACAAGCUUUUUUCAUCUUACAUCAUGUUUUAAGCUCUGUUGAUUGUUGAUUUCUGCCAUGUUUAUCGAGGGAGAGGACGCCAAGUACUAGGAGAAGGAUCAGUUUAGCAAGUAUAGGCUGUAAUUCUCUUAUGAUUAUGGAUUGCUGAGAAGUGCAACCUUUUGAUCUUCGAGAACCGCAAGUUUGCUGACAUUGAAAACACAUUCAUUAUGCAAGACAAAUGAUCUGUGAAAGAAGAGAUGAAGAACAAUUUUAGCUGAAGAGUUGAAGAAGACCAAGGGUGCUUUGGAUGGUGGUCUUGAUAUUCCGCACGGUGACAAGAGAUUUCGUGGCUUCAAGAAGGAUGAGAAGUAGCUGGACACUAAGAUUCACAACAAAUUCAUUUAUGAAGAUCAUGUUGCUGACUGCAUGAAGUUAAUAGUUGAUGAGGAGACUGAGAAGUGCCAAUUUCACUUUAGUGGGUACAUCAAGAAGGGGAUUGCGGCUAAUGACAUGGAAGCACUGUACAAGAAGGGUACGGCAGCAUAUAGAAGUGCCAAUUGGGCUUUAGUGUGCCAGCAUAUAUAAGUGCUGCAACCACCAUUGUUCCGGAUAUGAGGUAUAAUGCUAAUUGGGCUUGUGAAUUAAUCAUGUCUGGGAAUGGAUUGCCUCAUUGUUGGGGUUUCUCAGUAUGUAAUUUCUUUUACUCAUUUUAGAUUCUUAAUUCGGUGGUUCUUGAUUGCAACCUAGGGUCAUCCUGUUCCUACUCACAUGUUACAUUAGUGUUUUGUAUAAUAUAUCCAAGCUCUCACUCCUGAAAAUUGUCCAUCUGUUCUCUGAUGCACGCAGGUCACUGGAGAGGGAGUCUGGCUUGCGAGUUUCGCCGAUUCGGUCACAACGGCGAUGCCAAACUAUGAGGAGAUACCAAAGGUGUACUGGGAGGCGGUGCUUCCUGGAACCCCAAUGCGUCCACCUAUUAUCAACCUGCUGUUAGCCCAGCAAAAUGAUGUGCUCUUUUGUUGGUUGCGGUUCUGCAUAACUAUUGCUGGUCGCUGGAGCAGAAGCAAUGAAGCUUGAAGUUUAUAAGUUCGGGGGAUGGCAACAAUACUGCUUUUUACGCUGCCUGACACUAUUAUUUCAUGUUUCUGAAUUUAAGUCCCGAGAACUAAGUGUCGGUGUCGUCAAACUUUAAUGUUAUGUCAUGUCUUGAGAGUUUGGUUUGUGCGAGUGUGUACUAAACUACUCUUGGAUGCUAUGUUUGAGUCAAAUUGGUGUUAAAUCUACAACAUGUUGUUAUAUUUGUCACUUGUUUGCUACCACUGCUUGUAUGGGGUA